ACAAACACAUAUAUUUGACAAUUUUACCCUUAUAGUUAAAGUACGUUUUCCCUAAUGGAAUGGAAUGGACCAUUCCUAAAGAAAGAUGAUUCAUUCCAUUUUGUUAUUUUCAUUGUCUUUUUUAUUUCAUUCCAUCAUUGAUAUAACCCUUAUGUUAUUUCUCUGAUUUUUAAUGACACAUCUUUUUGAAAAUUUUACCCUUAUAGCUAAAAAGAGUAAAGUAGGUUGUGAUUUCCUUCGAUUUAUCCUUGUAGUUAGGAUAAUGUAUCAAAUAUAGAUAAAAUUAUAAUUUGUAGAAUACCAAAACCAAAAACUACAACAGAUUCACCUGCACUUUUUAACCUUUUUUUGGUUUUCAGUCUACGGAGGUUGGCAAUUUCAGUGACCUUUUAGGGGCAAAUAUUUUUUGUCUGGAUUCCGAGAUAUUUAAUAUUUGACGAUGAUAUCAUAUUACUUUUCGGUUUGUUAUAUGAAUCUCAACAAUCUGUGAGUUUUGUUAAUCUUCACGCUUUUCCUUCCAAAAUUUAUCCCACAGCUUUAACGUUUUGUCAUUUUCUCUCAAAACUUGACAGAAUUCACAGGAAAUUACAAUCAAAAGUAAUCAGAUCUUUUUUUUUUUAAAUAAGACUAAUUUCCAGUUUCUCUAUCCACUUUGCAGCCUUCCCUACAACAAAGGUUAAAAGGAUUUCAAGAGAAAUUGGAGGUGUCUUUUAUGGAAUUUCAAUCUUGGACCUUACAUGGGAACCAAUUCAUUUCUGAAAUAAGUUCUCAGCUCUAGGAUUUCACGUAUGUAAGUUUUUAGUUAUGGAAACUUAGUUAUCAAAUUUGCUUUAGGCUUCACUAUCUGUAAUUCUAUGAUAUUAGUAGCUAUAGUUUAUCCAAAUGAAAAUUUUAUAAUGUUUGCUUCCGAUUUCUUGCUGAUAUUUUCCAUGAGUUGCAAAGUGACAACACCUUCUGUAAGGGGCUCAGCAGAUUCGUUAUUCAAAGGUCAUAAGACGAUAUGAAACCAUUAUCAU
rnacentral:lncRNA from 1 species